rnacentral:tRNA from 1 species
GAGGGCGUAGCUCAACGGUAGAGCGUGUGCUUAGCAUGCACAAGGUCCUGGGUUCAAUCCCCAGCACCUCCA